ACCCAGUGGUCAGAUGUAUUUAUCUUGCCAGGAUUUCUACCUCCUGGCCUUGCAAAGGGAGUAUAAAAUGACACUCUGCCAUUAAUUAGAAACAAAAGAAAGAGUGGAUAUGCUUAAUGUCCAUUUGAAUAUCGGCAUGACAGUGUGUUCUGGACUGUUUGGGUCUCCUCUUUUAUUUCAUGGUAACCCAUUGCUGAGCAUUCUCCCUAAGGACUAAGCUGUAGUUUCCUUAUUUCGCUGCUAGGUGCUUGCAACCCUUUCUCUUUCAUUCUUGUUUCCUUCAAGUGGCCUAUUAGACCAAAGUUGCUCUUUGAAGAUUUGUUAAAUAGAAGCUACCUACAGAGAGACACAAGUCAUCAGUUUGUCUACCUGCAUCCAAAAUAUAAUUGGUCCAUCCAUAUAAACACUUGGUACCCGGUUGGUGGCGCCAUUCCGGAGGUUAUGGAAUCUUAAUGCAGUAGAGCCUUGGUAGAAGACGUCACUGGAGAAUAAGAAGAAACUGAGUCCCAGCUAAAGUGCUGCAUUGAUUAGAAUGGUACAUCUACCAAGGCUAUUACUCAGAGCACCAGGACCCUAGUGUGGGGUCUCGCAUUUGGAAACCCUCUAUCCGAUUCACCGUCACCCUGCCUCUAUGAGGGUGCUCCCCCACUCACCCACCCACUCCUGUCUUCCUGCCCUGGCAUUCCCUUACC